rnacentral:rRNA from 1 species
CCUACGGGUGGCAGCAGUGAGGAAUAUUGGUCAAUGGGCGCGAGCCUGAACCAGCCAAGUAGCGUGAAGGAUGACUGCCCUAUGGGUUGUAAACUUCUUUUAUAAAGGAAUAAAGUGAGGCACGCGUGCCUGUUUGGAGGUACUUUAUGAAUAAGGAUCGGCUAACUCCGUGCCAGCAGCCGCGGGAAUACGGAGGAUCCGAGCGUUAUCCGGAUUUAUUGGGUUUAAAGGGAGCGUAGAUGGGUUGUUAAGUCAGUGGGGAAAGUUUGCGGCUCAACCGCGAAAUUGCAAUUGAAACUGGCAGUCUUGAGUACAGUUGAGGUAUGCGGAAUGCGUGGUGUAGCGGUGAAAUGCUUAGAUAUCACGAAGAACUCCGAUUGCGAAGGCAGCUUACUAAACUGCCACUGACAUUGAUGCUCGAAAGCGUGGGUAUCAAACAGGAUUAGAUACCCUUGUAGUC